CAGAUUCUUGAGAAUAUGUGUAGUUGAUUCAAUAUUCCCAAUCACCUUGGAAGAAGUGGUAAUAACUAGAGAAACUAGUUAUUUGCUCAGACAUAGAAGCCACAAAGAAGAUGGAAGAUGGAAAAACAUUUGCCCAGUCUGGAUGCCGGAAUGACUAUGUGGGUCAAAGCUACCAAUUCAC
rnacentral:lncRNA from 1 species